UAACCGUUUGUACUGUAAAACUGCAGAUGGCUCAUUAUAACAGUAAUAGUUUAUUUGGCAAAUUCAUACGGAUAACCGUAGUAACUCCAUGGCUAAUACGUGACAAAGCUCCUGGCCCGCCAGGAGGUGCAUAUUAGUCCAAAACCAAUUGUGGUUGAAUCAUAAUAUUUGUCGGAUCGCGUUGUUCAAAACAGCGACAUGCCAUUCAAGUUUCUGCCCUAUCAGCUUUCGACGGUAGGCUAUUGGCCUACCGUGGCUUUGACGGGUGACGGGGAAUCAAGGUUCGGUUCCGGAGAGGGAGCCUGAGAAACGGCUCCCACAUCCACGGAAGGCAGCAGGCGCGCAAAUUACCCAAUCCUGACACAGGGAGGUAGUGACAAGAAAUAACGAUAGGCAGCACGCAGUGUUGCCAAUUCGGAAUGAGAAAUAUUUAAAUCCCUUAUCGAUAAACAAGCGGUGGGCAAGCCUGGUGCCAGCAGCCGCGGUAAUACCAGCACCGCUAGCGUAUACUAAAAUUGUUGCUUUUAAAAAGCUCGUAGUUGGAUAUCGGUCACACCGAGCGUGGCCCUUCCUCUUUAAAUUGGGAAGACGUGCCAGUGCAAGUUUUGCGGCUCGGUUGGCUUCAUUCAGGAUGCUGGUCUGACCAUUUAUUUGGCUGGGCCAGCGAGUCCUGAUCGUUUACUUUGAAAAAAUUAAAGCGCUCAAAGCGGGCUUUCGCUCGAAUGCAAUAACAUGGAAUAAUAAUGGACGACUUUGGCGUUGCCUCGCGGCAAUCGUUUAUUGGUUUUGAGCCAAAGUAAUGAUUGAUAGGAACGAUUGGGGGUGCUAGUAUCGCCGGGCCAGAGGUAAAAUUCUAUGAUUCCGGUGAGACUAACUUAUGCGAAAGCAUUCAUCAAGGGCGUUUCCUUUAAUCAAGAACUAAAGUUUGGGGAUCGAAGACGAUCAGAUACCGUCGUAGUCCAAACUAUAAACUAUGUCGACUAAGAGUUGGGGUUUAUACUUCCUCAGGGCUUUACGAGAAAUCAAAGUUUCUGGACUAAGGGGGGAAUAUGCUCGCAAGUGUUAAACUUAAAGAAUUGACCGA
rnacentral:rRNA from 1 species